GAUGAACGCUGGCGGCGUGCCUAAUACAUGCAAGUCGAGCGAACAGACGAGGAGCUUGCUCCUUCGACGUUAGCGGCGGACGGGUGAGUAACACGUAGGUAACCUACCUAUAAGACUGGGAUAACUUCGGGAAACCGGAGCUAAUACCGGAUAAUAUAUCGAACCGCAUGGUUCGAUAGUGAAAGAUGGCUUUGCUAUCACUUAUAGAUGGACCUGCGCCGGAUUAGCUAGUUGGUAAGGUAACGGCUUACCAAGGCAACGAUACGUAGCCGACCUGAGAGGGUGAUCGGCCACACUGGAACUGAGACCCGGUCCAAGCUCCUACGGGAAGCAGCAGUAAGGAAUCUUCCGCAAUGGGCGAAAGGCUGACGGAGCAACGCCGCGUGGGUGGUGGAGGUCUUCGGAUCGUAAAACUCUGGUAUUAAGGAAGAACAAACUUGUAAGUAACUGUGCACGUCUUGACGGGACCUAAUCAGAAAGCCACCGCUAAGCACGUG
rnacentral:rRNA from 1 species